UUUCCGUAGGUGAACCUGCGGAAGGAUCAUUACAGUAGUCGCCCGGGUUGACGCAAGGCCUCCCGGGUAACCUACCACCCUUUGUUUAUUACACUUUGUUGCUUUGGCAGGCCUGCCCUCGGGCUGCUGGCUCCGGCCGGCGAGCGCUUGCCAGAGGACCUAAACUCUGUUUGUCUAUACUGUCUGAGUACUAUAUAAUAGUUAAAACCUUCAACAACGGAUCUCUUGGUUCUG
rnacentral:misc_RNA from 1 species